rnacentral:rRNA from 1 species
AUUGAACGCUGGCGGCAUGCCUUACACAUGCAAGUCGAACGGCAGCGGGGGAGAAGCUUGCUUUUCCUGCCGGCGAGUGGCGAACGGGUGAGUAAUACAUCGGAACGUGCCCUGUAGUGGGGGAUAACUAGUCGAAAGAUUAGCUAAUACCGCAUACGACCUGAGGGUGAAAGUGGGGGACCGCAAGGCCUCAUGCUAUAGGAGCGGCCGAUGUCUGAUUAGCUAGUUGGUGGGGUAAAGGCCUACCAAGGCGACGAUCAGUAGCUGGUCUGAGAGGACGAUCAGCCACACUGGGACUGAGACACGGCCCAGACUCCUACGGGAGGCAGCAGUGGGGAAUUUUGGACAAUGGGCGAAAGCCUGAUCCAGCAAUGCCGCGUGUGUGAAGAAGGCCUUCGGGUUGUAAAGCACUUUUGUCCGGAAAGAAAUGGCUCUGGUUAAUACCUGGGGUCGAUGACGGUACCGGACGAAUAAGGACCGGCUAACUACGUGCCAGCAGCCGCCGUAAGAC